rnacentral:rRNA from 1 species
AUUGAACGCUGGCGGCAUGCCUAAUACAUGCAAGUCGAGCGGAGCUGCGGACGGGUUAGUAAUGCCUAGGAAUCUGCCUGGUAGUGGUGGAUAACGUCCGGAAACGGGCGCUAAUACCGCAUACUAUCAGAUCACCCUCGGUGGUAUUAGCUAGUUGGUGGGGUAAAGGCCUACCAAGGCGACUAUCCGUAACUGGUCUGAGAGGAUGAUCAGUCACACUGGAACUGAGACACGGUCCAGACUCCUACGGGAGGCAGCAGUGGGGAAUAUUGGACAAUGGGCGAAAGCCUGAUCCAGCCAGGCCGCGUGUGUGAAGAAGGUCUUCGGAUUGUAAAGCACUUUAAGUUGGGAGGCGUUACCAAAAGAAUAAGCACCGGCUAACUUCGUGCCAGAAGCCGCGGUAAUAC